GCCAGCUUUGAUGUCCUCCAAAUAAUGGGGAUGGCUGAGUUCCAUUAUUCACUAGCUCAUCCUCCAUAAAAUAUGAUAAAUUUUUAACAAUGUUGUCUGGAGGUUCCUCCUUCUGGAAUAACUAUUUUGUUGGGAUUAUUAGCUACAGGGAUUGGACAACGGUGUUGCUGUGCAACAAAUCCCCAUGUGUUUAAAACAUUAUAUACC
rnacentral:misc_RNA from 1 species